UGUUUCGGCUAGGGGGCCAUCCCGGCUUACCAACCCGAUGCAAACUGCGAAUACCGGAGAAUGUUAUCACGGGAGACACACGGCGGGUGCUAACGUCCGUCGUGAAGAGGGAAACAACCCAGACCGCCAGCUAAGGUCCCAAAGUCAUGGUUAAGUGGGAAACGAUGUGGGAAGGCCCAGACAGCCAGGAUGUUGGCUUAGAAGCAGCCAUCAUUUAAAGAAAGCGUAAUAGCUCACUGGUCGAGUCGGCCUGCGCGGAAGAUGUAACGGGGCUAAACCAUGCACCGAAGCUGCGGCAGCGACGCUUAUGCGUUGUUGGGUAGGGGAGCGUUCUGUAAGCCGUUGAAGGUGGCCUGUGAGGGUUGCUGGAGGUAUCAGAAGUGCGAAUGCUGACAUAAGUAACGAUAAAGCGGGUGAAAAGCCCGCUCGCCGGAAGACCAAGGGUUCCUGUCCAACGUUAAUCGGGGCAGGGUGAGUCGACCCCUAAGGCGAGGCCGAAAGGCGUAGUCGAUGGGAAACAGGUUAAUAUUCCUGUACUUGGUGUUACUGCGAAGGGGGGACGGAGAAGGCUAUGUCGGCCGGGCGACGGUUGUCCCGGUUUAAGCGUGUAGGUGUGUGCUCCAGGCAAAUCCGGUGCACUUUAACACUGAGGCGUGAUGACGAGGCACUACGGUGCUGAAGUGACAAAUGCCCUGCUUCCAGGAAAA
rnacentral:rRNA from 1 species